rnacentral:tRNA from 2 species
GCGGUCGUAGCUUAGCUGGUCUAAAGCGCCACCUUGUCACGGUGGAGAUCGUGGGUUCAAAUCCCAUCGACCGCGCAA